GACGGAGGAUGCAAGUGUUAUCCGGAAUCACUGGGCGUAAAGCGUCUGUAGGUGGUCAAAUAAGUCAACUGUUAAAUCUUGAGGCUCAACCUCAAAAUCGCAGUCGAAACUAUUCGACUAGAGUAUAGUAGGGGUAAAGGGAAUUUCCAGUGGAGCGGUGAAAUGCGUAGAGAUCAGGAAGAACACCCGUGGCGCAAGCGGCCACCUGGCAGAGCACUGACGCUGAGGCACGAAAGCGUGGGUAGCGAACCGG
rnacentral:rRNA from 1 species